CUCUCAGCCAAUGAGGAGAGUCGGAGGGAGAAGGGAAGGCCGGAGAAGGAGGAGAGGAGGGAGGAGGAGUCGUCAUCAAACUGCAACCACACGCUGAGCGACGCCUCCUAUAGGGGAGCAGCAUGUCCAGGAACGCUACCUGAGGGUCCUCCACUCUGAGCGAAUCACUGACCAACUCUGUCACAUCCACCAUCCAAUCAGAGGAGCCCAUGAGGUGUGUGAUCCUGCCCUCAAGGUCGUGAGCCUUGAACUUGGUCAGGACCUGAACCGAGGAGCGCUGGUACACAGCCGAGCACCUGAGGAGACACGUAGCAUAGCAACAUAGCUCAAAACAACCUGUAAUAAAACGUAGCAUAAGGUAGAACCUGAGGAGCCACGUAGCAUAGAAACAUAGCUCAAAACAACCUACAAUAAAACGUAGCAUAAGGUCGAACCUGAGGAGCCACGUAGUAUAGAAACAUAGCUCAGAAUACCCUAGCAUAAAACCUAGCUUAAAGUAGAACCUGAGGAGAAACGUAGCAUAGCAACAUAGCACAGAAUAACCUAGCAAAAAACCCAGCAUACAGUAGAACCUGAGGAGACAUAUGUUAGGCCACAUAAUGUAGCGUAGCGAUGUGUAACGUCAUCAUAAACAUGAUACACAGAUUGUUUGACGUGAUGAUAGACAGACUGAAUGAAUUAAUGAUAGACAGACUGAAUGAAUUAAUGAUAGACAGACUGAAUGAAGCAAUGAUAGACAGACUGAAUGAAGUAAUGAUAGACAGACUGAAUGAAGCAAUGAUAGACAGACUGAAUGAAGCAAUGAUAGACAGACUGAAUGAAGUAAUGAUAGACAGACUGAAUGAUGUAAUGAUAGACAGACUGAAUGAAGUAAUGAUAGACAGACUGAAUGAAGUAAUGAUAGACAGACUGAAUGAUGGAAUGAUAGUCAGACUGAAUGAUGUAAUGAUAGACAGACUGAAUGAAGUAAUGAUAGACAGACUGAAUGAAGCAAUGAUAGACAGACUGAACGACGUAUUGAUAGACAGACUGAAUGAAGUAAUGAUAGACAGACUGAAUGAAGUAAUGAUAGACAGACUGAAUGAAGCAAUGAUAGACAGACUGAAUGAUGUAAUGAUAGACAGACUGAAUGAAGUAAUGAUAGACAGACUGAAUGAAGUAAUGAUAGACAGACUGAAUGAAGCAAUGAUAGACAGACUGAAUGACGUAUUGAUAGACAGACUGAAUGACGUAUUGAUAGACAGACUGAACGACGUAUUGAUAGACAGACUGUACGACAUGGCGCUGAGCUACGUGGCGUGCGGGGCGGCGGCGGCGGCUAGCGGCGGUACCCGUGCUGGCUGCGGUGGCGCCAGCCCUGGAUGGCGUUGAGCACGGGGUCUGAGACGGAGACGUGCAGGGGCACGGCGGGCGCCCACACCCUCAGACACAAGGAGCUACGGAGCGCGCCCAGACCAAACUCCACCCCCACACAGGUGCUACCCACUCCUGAUUCGCUCCCGUCCACAAAGAGGGAGGAGCAGUCGCUGGACACCUGCCAUUCCAGGCAAAGAGAAGAGAACGGAGGUCGCGGCAGCGGUGACGUCGGCCAUCGUCCCAUCUCGGCCGACUGCCAUCACCGUGACAGGAAGUGACACGGACUGCCCGCUCAAGAUGGCCGUGUUGAUGAUGGUGUCGGUCUGCGG